CCUACGGGAGGCAGCAGUGGGGAAUAUUGGGCAAUGGGCGCAAGCCUGACCCAGCAACGCCGCGUGAAGGAAGAAGGCUUUCGGGUUGUAACCUUCUUUUGUCAGGGAAGAGUAGAAGACGGUACCUGACGAAUAAGCCACGGCUAACUACGUGCCAGCAGCCGCGGUAAUACGUAGGUGGCAAGCGUUGUCCGGAUUUACUGGGUGUAAAGGGCGUGUAGACGGGUUGACAAGUCAGCAGUGAAAUCCUGCGGCUUAACCGCAGAACUGCAUUUGAAACUGUUGAUCUUGAGUACUGGAGAGGCAGACGGAAUUCCUAGUGUAGCGGUGAAAUGCGUAGAGAUUAGGCGGAACACCAGUGGCGAAGGCGGUCUGCUGGACAGCAACUGACGGUGAGGCGCGAAAGCGUGGGGAGCAAACAGGAUUAGAUACCCGGGUAGUC
rnacentral:rRNA from 1 species